rnacentral:rRNA from 1 species
UACGUAGGGGGCAAGCGUUGUCCGGAAUCAUUGGGCGUAAAGAGCGUGUAGGCGGUUCGGUAAGUCGGCUGUGAAAGUCCAGGGCUCAACCCUGGGAUGCCGGUCGAUACUGCCGGACUAGAGUUCGGAAGAGGCGAGUGGAAUUCCCGGUGUAGCGGUGAAAUGCGCAGAUAUCAGGAAGAACACCGAUGGCGAAGGCAGUUCUCUGGGACGGUACUGACGCUGAGACGCGAAAGCGUGGGGAGCGAACAGG